AAAAAAAAAAGUCCAAUUACUUAAAUGUUAAUCUCAUCCAAAACACCCUCACAGAAAUAUGCAGAAAAUCUUCCAUCACAUACAUACCUGGGCAUUAUGGCCCAGCCAAGUUGACACACAAAUUAACCACCACAUAUGGUGGAAAUAGAGCUUCAAAAUGAUGUUCCAAAGGCAAGCAAUAUUAUACUUUUAAAAUCUCUGGGAAUAUACCCCUUUUGUAUACUAUUUUGAAAUCCUUGGAAAUACACAAUUUUUUUAUACUUCAGUGUAGUUUUAAGGAGCACUGACAUGCUGCCUAGCAUGCAGAGGCCAUGCGACCCUUGGGGAGGCUCCUACUUGCCUUGGAAAAGUAGCUCCUCCUCUUCUCAAAUGUAAUAAUGGAAACCUUACAUGGGUGGAUCCAGGGGUAAAGCUCUUUGUGGUGUAUAGCAACAGAAUGUUAAGUCAAAGUGGUUGUCAACAAAGUUUAUCGAACAGCAGCUAUAUUUUUUAUAAUGAACACUGGUUUGCCUGGAACCUUGAAGUAACCAUGAAUUUUUCCUAGACCCUAAUACUAUCAGAAAGAAACAAAUCACCCAACAAUAAGAUCAGUAACUAAAACCAACAAAUCCCAAAGGCAUCUCACAGUGCUGGCAUAUGUCUCUGCCAUAGCUCAUGCUCAUAAACUGCAAUGAGCCAACCCUGGCAUCAUGAAGGACCCCGAUUUUAAAAAUGGGUAAAGAAGUUCUGAAAGCCUGGGCAACAUAGUGAGACCAUUCUCUUAAAAAAAAAACACCUUGGCCUCCCAAAGUGCUGGGUUUAAUGGGCUAGGUGUGAGCCACCACACCCCACCCCUUUUCUCUAUUUUAAUGAAAUAUAGACGCUUGUUAUCCUAAAGUUUUCUUUUUCUUUCUUUUUUUUUUUUUUUGCCAUGAAGUUCAUGAACACACUAAAAUGUUCUAUGCAGCAUAUUUUUAGGAGCAGAUUCGGUUCAGAUAAUUUAUUAUGUCUGUGCUGCCAACUUGAGGCUGCCUGAGAGUUUGUUGGGAGCUCCAAACUCUCCAGUCACCACAGAAGCCACCUUUUCACCCAGCGGGCGCACACUCGGGAUCUGAACUCUCUGAUAGAUGGGCCAUGCUGGGGAGACAGCAGCAGCCUGAAAAGGGUUCACAGCCCUCCAAGAAAAAGGGAGAAAAGACCCUGCAUUUGACUGCAACACUAAAGAACCCUUUCAUUGCUCAUGAAAAGAGUUUGGAGAGGCAAAGUUAAUGUCCCCUGGAGAAAUGGAUGGAUGAUUGGAUGGAUAGACGAGAGUUUAAGAACUCUUCAUGGAAAGAUAGCCAAACCACUAAAAUACUAUUUCAACAGAGGAGGUCACAGAAUGGUGGAAUGGUAGAUCUGUAGGACUAAAGGAGACCUCAGAUUUGUCACUCUUAUCUGACUCAUGAAACUGAGACCCAGAGAGGUGAAAGGGUGUGCUCGGUCCGGUAGCUGUGUUGCAGACUAUGUGAAUGGCACCUCUUGGUGUCAUGCAAUGCAUAACAACCACCUGUGCAGCCUCAUGGCCCUGCACAACCUCCUGACCACAGCGAUGGAAUAAAGUGGUCCAGUCAGGGGCAUUUUCAGCCUCUGGGGAUGUUGAUAUAGUAACUCCUCCUCUUUUCCCAUACCCUGAAAAAAUGCAGCCCAAGAAGCUGCCGAUGCUCUUACAGCUGUGAGGGGAGGGGCUGCCCGAGGAGAGAGGUAACCUAGAGUUGAGAGAUGGAGGAAGAGAUACAGAAUCUGGAUGGCUAUGCUCUGAUCCUGUAAUCCGACUAUGCCUGAAUGUGGAUCUACCUUCCAAAGGUAGGGUGCUUUUCGUUUGUUUGAGCCAUCUGGUGUCAGAUGUUCUGUCACUUACUACCUUGUUAUAAUUAAUAGAGGAGCUCAAAGAGCUAUAAAUAUCUAAGGAGGAAGAGUUCAGGUUGCAAAGCCUUCCUAGACAAGGUUGCUUCAAAGGAAGGUCUGAAAGGAAGAAUGGGAGGCAGGCAGGCUGCAAAGGGAGAGAAAAUUCAGGGAAGGAGAAGACCAGGAACAGAGGCCUGAGAUAUGAGAGCCUGGUACUAUGGACUGGAUGCUUGUGGCUCCCCCCUUCCCCCUAAUCGACUUGUUGAAGCCCAGUCCCCAUUGUGAUGGCAUUAGGUGGUGUGGCCUCUGGAAAGUAAUUAGGCCAUGAGGGUGAAUCCCUCAUGAAUGGGAUUAGUGUCUUCAUGAAAAGACAGGAGAGAGCUUGCUUUCUAUCCUCUCUGCCAUGUGAGGACACAACGAGAGAAUGGUCAUCUGCAAACGAGGAAGAGGUCCCUUACCAGAGCCGACCAUGCUGGCGCCCUGAUCUGACUUCCCGGCCUCUAGAACAGUGAGAAAUAAAUCUCUGUUGUCUAAGCCACCCAGUAUAUAGUCAUUUAUAACAGCACAGAGUGACUGAGACACCUGGGGUGGGGGUGUUUGGGGAAUCAUAUUUAAUUAAGCCUAUUUGGUUAGAGUGUUGGAUAUCCAAAGCAGGUAACGGGGGUUAGGAUUAAAGAUGUAGGUUCCUACCAGUCUGUGAGUUUGUUCUUUUGUAUUUUGGAUAAUAAUUCAGCAAGAGAGGAGGGAUGAGAAUGAAAGGAGAGAACUGGUUGCGAGACUAUUGGUAAUUUUUGAAGUAUGAGAGUCCAUGGCUUCUAAGGUGACCAACUGUUCUGAUUUGCCCGGGACUGAGGAAUUUCCCAGGAUGUGGGACUUUCAGUGCUAAAACUGAACAGUUCCAUGCAAAUGGGGAUGAUUGAACACCCUGAAACAUCACCCAAACCAUAAAGGAAGAUAUUGAUAGAUUUCAUUCCAUAAAAAAUAACAUGUGAAUGAAAAAACAGAAAAUAGUCUGAAUGCAUCUAAACUGUUUUUCUCUAGAAAAAAAUUAAAAUAAAUGACUAUCUCUUUGGGACUCAAGCCAUUUAGUGACAUUGCCCUUCAUUUCCUGAUUGCCAGUAUCCAACCUCCUUGUGCCUGAACCCCAUCAGUACUAGGAGCCCUGUCGCCUAUGAAUUCCCAAGUUCCUACAUCUCACUUUAGCCAAAAUCAUCCAUGUUUGCAGCACUCUCUUGCCUGUCAUGGCCCUCCAACCUCCUGGAGCCCUCUGACUCCUCCAUUGUUGCUCUUUCUUUCUUCUGUCUUCCUUCUCUAGCUAGUCAAGAUCACCUAAUCAGUCACUUCAAAUAACUUGGUCGAUAUCAUACCCUGUGGUCCUCUGCACUUGGCAAAAUUCUGGACUCCAGAUCAAUUCCACGAUCUAUUCACCUUCUGCACAAAGGAUGUGGAAAAACCGCAGAUGAAUUCUCAACUGCAGACCAAUGCUUCUUUAUAUUCUUCUCUCCCACUUCCCACACAACUUUGAGCCCCUGCUCUACCACUGAACUAGCUGUGUGAUUUGGGGCAAGUUGCUUCAUCUCUCUGGGUCACUGUUUUCUCACCCAAAAAGUGAGAUGUUGUAAGGAAUAACUGAGUUAGUACGCAUAAAAUGCUAAGCACAGGCAAUGGCAUGUAAUAAGCACCUCAUAAAUGCUGGCUUUUACUGAUGCUAGGAUUUUGAAUGCACACUUAGAGGGGUUAAGUCAGUGUGUCAGGAAGUAGCAGGUCAUAGCAUUGUGAUGUUUGGCAAAUAAAUGACACAGGACACUAAACUGUGCAAAAUUUUACUUUUGCAAAGAUUUAAUUCCACAUUUCACCAAAGAUGAUGCUUUGGUCAUCAGUCAAUGAUGAAGGCAUCAUUGACUAAUGAUCCCUUAUGAUCAUUAGUCAUAAGGGAAAUGCAAAUUAAAACCACAAUAUACCACUAUGCAUAUGUUACAAUGUCUAAAGUUUAAAAGACUGAUCAUCCCAAAUUUUGGCAAGAAUGUGAAGAAACUAGAACUCUCAUACCCUGCUAGUGGGAAUGGAAAACAUUUGAAAGAACAGUUUACUGUUUCUUUUUCAUUUUUUGGCACUUUCUUAAUAUGCUAGAUAAACAUCUACCGUAAGAUCCAACUAUUCCACUCCUAGGUAUUUACCCAAAAGACGAGAAAGCGUAGGUCCACACAAAGAUUUGUACACAAAUGCUCACAGCAGCAUUAUCUAUAAUGGCCCCAAAACUGGAAACAAGACUUCUCCAGCUCCAUUUACAGUCUGGCUCCUGGGCCUUUGGAUCCCAGCAGUGUCCGAGCAGGAGCUCAAAGGACAGCCCCACCAUGGGGGAUCAGCCCUAGAAGCUGUCACUACAUCUCCAACGGACGCAACUAUUUUCCAGGUAAUAAAGCUGCAGUGAAUGCCACCUGUCAACUAGUUCCUUUCAAAUUCUGACUUGGUUUGGUAAGUCUGUGGCUUGUUGUCAUACCACUGGCAGAAAAGGCCCCUUCCCUGUAGUCAGACUGUAGAGGCCACAGGGGCUCUUCUGAAAGAGGAAGCAAGCUCUUUUCCAAGCGUUAUUUUUAUUUGUUGUACAUUUUAGCAGAUUAAGCACUUAGGGUUGGGAUUUUAAAAAUAUUGAACACCGGGGGAGAGAGCCAACAACAGCACAGUGGCCCCGGACCGUGACCCUUGGACUGAAGGAACCUACAGAUGUGGUUUUUUUUGGUGACAUUUUACAUGCAACUCCAGAUUUCAAACUCUUUUGGAGAAGCAGGCAAUCUGGCAACAGUCGUUUUGGAUUCUCAGAAGGCAAUAAAGAACAGCUGCCACCUUCCGAGGGGCACGGUGGAUGCCCUGUUCUGCCAGAAUUGCCAACACGUUUAUCGUCUUAGACUUGCCCAAGGUGUCGCAGUUAGAGACUGCCUCCCUUAUUCACGCUCCUGCCUGGUGCCCGUGGGCUUGAAUUUGCUCCCCUUGGAGUGGGGUGAGGCUCUGCAGACACUUCUCAUACACCUCCCCUGCAGACAGCAAGCUCCUGGAACACAAGUCACAUGCAUUUCAUUUCCUGCUCUCUUGCUACCACCCAACAUGGGCUCUCAAUACAUGUUGAAAGCAAGGAUCAAUGAAUAAAUGGGCAACUAUCAGCUGUAGACUUGUAUGUGCCAGGUAUGGUGCUAGGCAUGCUAGGCACCAAAAGGGCCACAGAGGUGUUACAUGCCAGGAUAUCAGGGAGUUCAUGACAUAGUGAGGGAAAGAAAAAGCUUAUGCAGUGUGUGUGUGAAACUUUAAGCAAACAUGGUGCAUAACAAUAACAGGAAUGACUUUGCCUGCCCCUGAUGAAACUUCAGCAGGGCUAUGCCCUGUCUUGCCACCUUUAGGAAACAGCAGUCUUAUAGUCCUUUGCCCCUCUGAGUUACAACCACUGUCUCCUUUCAGGAGAAUGCCCAGUGUUAUAUCAUAAUCAAGGCUUUGAACUUGAUGUGGCAUUACAUGUUCUUCCAUCUCCCCAGCCACCUGAGAAGGGAGAUGGGGUAGCUUUUCUCUCUCACUCUCUCUCCCCCAACCCCUCCUUUUCCCACCGGCAGGUGAAUGAGCUUCCUGCCCAUAGGAGAAAGGGUAAAAUCACAAGGUGGUGCCCUUGUCUCCAAAUCUCAAGGUCCUCUGGAUGGCAGGUGAGUAAAGGUGACUCUUGUGAUUAUGGGUGUUUUGGGUGUUCCUCAGAGAUCCCCCAAACUGGGGUCUUGUCCACCAUUCCCAGGACUCUGCCAUGUGGAGCCAUGGGAAUGUGAAGUUCACCUCACACUUCCUUUCAGCUGAGGUCACCACACAGCCCCUACCAGCCCGGCUAUAUUGGGUGGGAUUUCAGAUGCCCCCACAAUGGCUGCCUUGGAGACUUUCCACUGGUCCUCAAGAAGCAACAACGCUCCCCUUGCUCUGCCUUUGGUGGAGGGCAAUUCCUCCUCUCUCUCUGCCUGGCCCCAGGCUGCUUCCACUGUCUCAGAAACUGGUCCCCGGAUUCCCCCAGUUACAGAGAACCCUCAUCAAGCUCUCAAGUGGCCACUGAAACCCAGGCUCUCUAGGCUCUGGAGUAUGGAAGUGACAGCUCCAUUUAAUUUCUCCUUUCCUCUUGUAGGCUUACAGCAUAGCACUCUCCCAAGAAAUCAUCCAAAAAUUACCUCAACCAUUCUAUAGACCCCAAGCUGACCAGGGGAGGGAGGACCAAGAAUCUUGAAACGUAAAUACUACAUUUGAUGGUCUCCUUCAGACUUAUUUUGGGAUCUGAUAUCUCUUUAACAAAAAUUAUAAAAAUUGAGGCAAAGAGAGCCCCAUUUUUUAUAUACUGUUCUAAUAAAUAACAGGUACCCUUAGAAGAAUGCAGACAAACACUCCUAUGGAAAUUUAAAGGAGCAUAAGACUUCUUGCAGUAUAGGGAGAGAACCAAGGAAGACUUCCUGGAGGAAAUGGCCAUUGAACUGGGCCUUGGACAUGUGGAGGUGAGGGAUGAGAGUAUUCCAGAUGAAGAGUCCAGCAUAGGGAAGGCCCACAGGAAGGAAUUGUGCUGUAUUAAUGCUGUCUUAGAGGCAUUUCCAUUGCCAGACACAGAUACUCAAAUUACUUCAGAGAGAGAGAGAGAGAGUAUUGAAAGGGUUUCUGUGAAUACCUCCACAACUGUGGUUCUCAAAGUGUAAUCCCUGGGCCAGCAGCAUCGGCAUCACCUGGGAACUUGUUAGAAAUGCAGAUUCCCAGGCUGGGUGCAGUGGCUCACGCCUGUAACCCUAGCACUUUGGGAGUCCGAGGUGGGUGGAUCACCUGAGGUUGGGAGUUUGAGACCAGCCUGACCAACAUGGAGAAACCCUGUCUCUACUAAAAAUACAAAAAGCCAGGUGUGGUGGCGCAUGCCUGUAAUCCCAGCUGCUUGGGAGGCUGAGGCAGGAGAAUCGCUUGAACCCGGGAGGCAGAGGUUGCGGUGAGCCGAGAUUGCACCACUGCACUCCAGCCUGGGUAACAAGAGCGAAACUCCACCGAAGAAAGAAGAGAGAGAGAGAGGGAGAAAGAAAGAAAGGAGAAAGAGAGAAAGAAAGAAAAAGAAAGAAAGAAAAGAAAAGAAAAAAGAAAGGAAAAGAAAAGGCAAAUUCACCAGAGCCUUUGAAUCAGAAAAGAACCCCCAGGGGCUGGUGGUAGCAGUCCUUGCACAGGCCCUCCAGGUGAUUCUCAUCCAGGGAAGCCUGCGAGCCCUUGAGGUGGAAUAUUCUCAGGAAUCCCUGAGAUAUGUGAAGAACUGAUGGCAUAGGCUAUUUCUAGGGAGGAAAUGGGGCUGCUGGGUGCACAGAUGAGGGGAGGUGGGAGACCUCUGUAAUUGUGUACCAUGUGCAUAUAUUACCUAUUCAGAGAAUAAUAAAACAAUGCGUUUAAUCCCCCGUCUUCCUCCAUCUACUUCUCUCGUACCCCAUAGCUGCUCUAGCACCUCCACCUCCCUCCUCAAAUGGUGUUCUUUGCUUCCUAGGCAAGCUGGUUUUCUGUUCUCCCUUCCCCGGUCUUCUCUUGCCUGGUCUUUAUUACAAGGUGUGCUAAGCCUCAUAAGGACAGUUGAAGAGAAAAGAAGUGAGACUGUGCUAGUGGCUAUAGAAUUCUGCCAGGAGAGCUGGAGGUGGGGAGGAAGACUAUGAAUUCAACCAUGCCAAUAAUUUCAGUCAAAAAUUAAGAAAAAGCCCAUCUCCGCCCCCUUUUCGGUUAUCAAAUAUGCAUUGUUUUCCUCUUUUGUUGGGCUUUUGUGUCUGUUUCAUUCUCACCUUGACUCAGCCCCUGUGAGCUUCAACUCUAAGCCUAACUCCAGCCACGGAGAAACCACGGAGAGGUUUGUCCAGUGUCUGGAAGAUGGACUGACUGCUGAAACAGGAGCAAGAAGAACCUCCUAGCAGGUCAGACAUACCCAAAGACAGCCACAUGGAAAUGGACACUGUUGCAAGGACGUGUGUCCAGCAGAGCAGGGGCAAAUGCCCCUGGUGCUAUAACUCCUUAAAGGCUCAAAUAUCUCUGCUGACCCAGUGAGUGCCCCUCAGCUUGUGGUGUGAGACUGAACUUACAGACACCACCUCAACUCGAGGAAUUCAAUGCAGUGAUGAGCUGAUUUAUGGUGUUUGCCAAUUCCUGUGGUGUAAAUAACUCAUCGCAUGGCCAGUUUCAGGCUACCAAUGUGAAGUCACUGAACCCAAAGUUUGGAAGAGAUUUACAUAACAGUGGACAUAGUUACUGGGCUUCAUAGAGAAAGCUACUAAACACAAGUGCCCCUGGGGUCCAGAAAUCAACUUCUGGUUGGAACUGACCUAUAUGGUGCCAAGUGUGCAUCUUCUAGGAGGACACUAGCAUUAGCAUGUCAUCCGCCAGUCUUGCAACAAGCCUUUUCCGUAAGAGCCUUUGACUAACAUUUGUUGAAUUUUGUAUUCACUGGGGGCUGGACGUGGUGACUUAUGCCUGUAAUCCCAGCACUUUGGGAGGCCAACAGCCAGUGCCACUGAUGACCAGGCCUGAGGUUAAAAGAUUAACCCCCGACUCUAACCGCAUGUGCUCUCAAUCUAUCACGACCCUUUCACAUGGAACCCCUUAGAGUUGUAAGGCCUUAAAACUCUGGCUUCCUGGAGCUCGGUUCUUGAGACGCGAGUCUGCCAAAACUCCCCGCCGUUGAGACGCGAGUCUGCCGAGGCUCACAGCCCAAUAAAGCCAAAUCCUUCGUAGCCGGGUGUCUGAGGGGUUUUGUCCGCGGCUGUCCUGCUUCAUUUCUUGGUUCCCUGACCAGGACUUCAGGGAGCCAGGAUGUCAGCAGCCUGGAGAGCUGAAGAAGGGAAGCAAACAUCUUCAAGACGUCUCCCGGCCUGCCCACUGCUCUGCCCAGGCUUGGAGGGAGGGAGAAAGGGACACAAAAGUUCAUGUCACACUCCAGGCUAAAAUUCUCCCAGGUGCCCUACCAUUACCUACAGGCAAACAGCCUAAUUCCUGUUUUCCCAAGACAGGAGAAGCCCUGCACAACCUGGCCUGGCCUCUCCCAUCCCUGUUCCAGGCAUGCUUUCUUGUGUGGAUCACUCACUCCCACCCUCAGAGGGGCCAGGCAUUUCCACACCUCUCCACUUUUGUCUCAAAUAAAAAUAUUCUGGAAUUAGAUAGCGAUAAUGGUUGUACAACAUUGUGAAUAUACUAAAAACCACUGAGUUAUACACUUUAAUUAAUUAAUUAAUUUAAGACAGUGUCUUACUCUGUUGCCGAGACUGGAGUGCAGUAGCAUCAUCACGGCUCACUGCAGCCUCAACCUCCCAAGCUCAAGUGAUCCUCCUGCCUCACACUGCCAUGCCUGACUAAUUUUUUUUAUUCUUAAUUUUGAAGAGAUGGGGGUCUCGCCAUGUUGCCCAAGCUUGUCUGGAGCUCCUGGGCUCAAGCCAUCCUCCUACCUCAGCCUCCCAAAGUGCUGGGAUUAUGGGCAUGAACUACUGUGCCUGGCCCAGUUAUACACUUUAAAGUGCUAAUUUUAUGUUAUGAUAAUUAUAUUUAUAGCAUUUAAAGCCCACUCAAGUGUCAUAUCCUCUAUAAAAGCCAUUCCUUAGCCUCUUCUGUCACCCAACCCAUCUUCCCACCCCAAAACAGAUCCCAUUUCUUCUAGGAUCCCUUUGUCCAUACUCAUCAAUACCCGCCUGGUCCACUGCAUGGUAGCCAGCAGUAUGUGUAUCUCCCCUUCAAGGGUGAAGCCCUGGAGGGCGAGAGAUAUGAGUUCAUCUUUGUGUGCCCCAGCGCCACAGCCUGCAUGCUGCAUAUAAGAAAUGCUCAACAAAUCUUUGAAACCAUUUCAACUCUUUCCUAUGCAAUAGAGCUGUCAAUGUAUCUGUGUCUCUUAAACCUCUCCUUCUGCCUGAAGACACUUUGGAUUUAUCUGGCUUGUGACCAGGCGGCUUCUGAACAAAUAGGGACUUUGAUCAGUUUCACAAGGUGCCCACAAGUGCCAAGCACUGUGCUGGGAGCAGUGGCCAUAACAGAACUAAAUGGCAUGGUCCCUGCCUUCAAGGAAUUGAUAAUCCAGUAGUGGGAGAUGAGGCAAGAGUCCAUACCCCUUUAUCCACAGUUUCACUUUCCGUGGUUGCAGUUACCCAUGGUCAACUGAGGUUCAAAAGCAUUACAUACAAUAAGAUAUUUUGGGCCACAGUUGGUUCAUGGCUAGCACUAAACUAAUGUUAGCUGUCGCCACUCCCACCUAAGGCCAGUCCCUCCAGGAACCUGACACUUUUGGUGUUCCAUCUCUUCUUCUCAACCAUAUUCCUGUCAUGGUGGGUAGCACCCCUGUUCAUCCAGUUGAGCCAGCCACAAGCCUAGAGGUCACCCCACUCCCCAUCCCCACAAACCGUCAUCAAGUCUCAUCAACCUUAUUAACUUCCUUAAAAACUUCCAGAUCUGUUCCCCUCUGUCCUACUCUACAACUUCUCCCCAGAGCUAGCCCAGUAGCCCCCAAGUACAACCAUCCCAGCCACUACCCAUUUCCACCCUGCGGCCAGAGUCCUGCUUUGAAAUGCAGACCUGAUCUUGUCACCCCUCCCUGGACUCGCCCUGCUGAAAUCUCUUAAUGACUUUCCACUCCUCUUGGGGUGAAAAUCAAAACCCUAACACCAUGCAGACUGAGUCUGUUAGAAUAUUUUUGACCCUGAGGAUCAGAAACCCUAGCAAACCAGAUUUAAAUUACAGGCAGUUUAUUAGCUUCCUCACAGGUAGACUGGAUAGGGUGGGCUUCAGGCAUUGUAUGAUUCCAGCAGGUUCUCUUCAACACCCCAGCCCUGGAGAGCCGCAGAUUGGACAACGGGCAGACUUUGUUGAACAGAUGAACAACUGUGGCUAAAUCUGUUUUGGAAAAAAAAAAA
rnacentral:lncRNA from 1 species